rnacentral:rRNA from 1 species
AUUGAACGCUGGCGGCAGGCCUAACACAUGCAAGUCGAGCGGAUGAAGGGAGCUUGCUCCUGGAUUCAGCGGCGGACGGGUGAGUAAUGCCUAGGAAUCUGCCUGGUAGUGGGGGAUAACGUCCGGAAACGGGCGCUAAUACCGCAUACGUCCUGAGGGAGAAAGUGGGGGAUCUUCGGACCUCACGCUAUCAGAUGAGCCUAGGUCGGAUUAGCUAGUUGGUGUGGUAAAGGCCUACCAAGGCGACGAUCCGUAACUGGUCUGAGAGGAUGAUCAGUCACACUGGAACUGAGACACGGUCCAGACUCCUACGGGAGGCAGCAGUGGGGAAUAUUGGACAAUGGGCGAAAGCCUGAUCCAGCCAUGCCGCGUGUGUGAAGAAGGUCUUCGGAUUGUAAAGCACUUUAAGUUGGGAGGAAGGGCAGUAAGUUAAUACCUUGCUGUUUUGACGUUACCAACAGAAUAAGCACCGGCUAACUUCGU